rnacentral:rRNA from 1 species
CGAACGCUGGCGGCGUGCUUAACACAUGCAAGUCGAGCGGUAAGGCUCCUUCGGGAGUACACGAGCGGCGAACGGGUGAGUAACACGUGAGUAAUCUGCCCUUCACUUCGGGAUAACCACCGGAAAUGGUGGCUAAUACCGAAUACGACCAGUCUUCGCAUGAGGUGCUGGUGGAAAGUCUUUUCGGUGAAGGAUGUGCUCGCGGCCUAUCAGCUUGUUGGUGGGGUAAUGGCCUACCAAGGCUUCGACGGGUAGCCGGCCUGAGAGGGUGACCGGCCACACUGGGACUGAGACACGGCCCAGACUCCUACGGGAGGCAGCAGUGGGGAAUAUUGGACAAUGGGCGAAAGCCUGAUCCAGCAACGCCGCGUGAGGGAUGACGGCCUUCGGGUUGUAAACCUCUUUCAGUACCGACGAAGCGCCCUGUCGGGUGGUGACGGUAGGUACAGAAGAAGGACCGGCCAACUACGUG